AUGAACGCUGGCGGCGUGCCUAAUACAUGCCAGUAGAACGCUGAAGGAGGAGCUUGCUCUUCUGGAUGAGUUGCGAACGGGUGAGUAACGCGUAGGUAACCUGCCUGGUAGCGGGGGAUAACUAUUGGAAACGAUAGCUAAUACCGCAUGACAACAGUUAUUGCAUGAUAACUGUUUAAAAGGGGCAACUGCUCCACUACCAGAUGGACCUGCGUUGUAUUAGCUAGUUGGUGAGGUAACGGCUCACCAAGGCGACGAUACAUAGCCGACCUGAGAGGGUGAUCGGCCACACUGGGACUGAGACACGGCCCAGACUCCUACGGGAGGCAGCAGUAGGGAAUCUUCGGCAAUGGACGGAAGUCUGACCGAGCAACGCCGCGUGAGUGAAGAAGGUUUUCGGAUCGUAAAGCUCUGUUGUAAGAGAAGAACGAGUGUGAGAGUGGAAAGUUCACACUGUGACGGUAGCUUACCAGAAAGGGACGGCUAACUACGUG
rnacentral:rRNA from 1 species